AGACACGUAUAGGGUCUGACGCCUGCCCGGUGCUGGAAGGUUAAGAGGAGGGGUGCAAGCUCUGAUCGAAGCCCCAGUAAACGGCGGCCGUAACUAUAACGGUCCUAAGGUAGCGAAAUUCCUUGUCGGGUAAGUUCCGACCUGCACGAAUGGCGUAACGAUUCCCGCUGUCUCCAACAUAGACUCAGUGAAAUUGAAUUCCCCGUGAAGAUGCGGGUCCUGCGUCAGACGGAAAGACCCGUCCACCUUUACUAUAGCUUUACACUGGCAUUCGUGUCGGCAUGUGUAGGAUAGGUG
rnacentral:rRNA from 1 species